AGUGAACGCUGGCGGUAGGCCUAACACAUGCAAGUCGAACGGCAGCACAGUAAGAGCUUGCCCUUACGGGUGGCGAGUGGCGGACGGGUGAGGAAUACAUCGGAAUCUACUUUUUCGUGGGGGAUAACGUAGGGAAACUUACGCUAAUACCGCAUACGACCUACGGGUGGAAGCAGGGGAUCUUCGGACCUUGCGCGAUUGAAUGAGCCGAUGUCGGAUUAGCUAGUUGGCGGGGUAAAGGCCCACCAAGGCGACGAUCCGUAGCUGGUCUGAGAGGAUGAUCAGCCACACUGGAACUGAGACACGGCCCAGACUCCUACGGGAGGCAGCAGUGGGGAAUAUUGGACAAUGGGCGCAAGCCUGAUCCAGCCAUACCGCGUGGGUGAAGAAGGCCUUCGGGUUGUAAAGCCCUUUUGUUGGGAAAGAAAAGCAGCAGGUUAAUACCCCGCUGUUCUGACGGUACCCAAAGAAUAAGCACCGGCUAACUUCGUG
rnacentral:rRNA from 1 species